GACCAGGAAAGGAUCAGGAUCGGGAUCGGGAAAGGGUUGGGAUCGGGACUGGGUCGGGGUUGGGACCAGGAAAAGGGUCGGGAUCAGGAUCAGGACCGGGACCAGGAUCAGGAAUUGGGAUCAUGUCAGGAUCAGGUUCGGAUUUGGGAAAUUUUUUUGGAGGGGGAAUCCCCCAAAAAUUUGGGAUGCAGGAGAAUUAUGAGAACGUCAUUUCCUUGGCCGAGGAAAUCGCCAUCAGUUGGCCCCGGAUCACCGCGUUCGCCGAAUCCCACCGGAGACGGGGGCUGGUGUCGGCCCCCUCCCCCGACGGUUCCCCUCCCCACCCCUCCCC